UUAAGUUAUUAAGGGCGCACGGUGGAUGCCUUGGCACUAGAAGCCGAUGAAGGACGUUACUAACGACGAUAUGCUUUGGGGAGCUGUAAGUAAGCUUUGAUCCAGAGAUUUCCGAAUGGGGAAACCCAGCAUGAGUUAUGUCAUGUUAUCGAUAUGUGAAUACAUAGCAUAUCAGAAGGCACACCCGGAGAACUGAAACAUCUUAGUACCCGGAGGAAGAGAAAGAAAAUUCGAUUCCCUUAGUAGCGGCGAGCGAAACGGGAAGAGCCCAAACCAACAAGCUUGCUUGUUGGGGUUGUAGGACACUCUAUACGGAGUUACAAAGGACGACAUUAGACGAAUCAUCUGGAAAGAUGAAUCAAAGAAGGUAAUAAUCCUGUAGUCGAAAAUGUUGUCUCUCUUGAGUGGAUCCUGAGUACGACGGAGCACGUGAAAUUCCGUCGGAAUCUGGGAGGACCAUCUCCUAAGGCUAAAUACUCUCUAGUGACCGAUAGUGAACCAGUACCGUGAGGGAAAGGUGAAAAGCACCCCGGAAGGGGAGUGAAAUAGAACCUGAAACCGUGUGCUUACAAGUAGUCAGAGCCCGUUAAUGGGUGAUGGCGUGCCUUUUGUAGAAUGAACCGGCGAGUUACGAUUUGAUGCAAGGUUAAGCAGUAAAUGUGGAGCCGUAGCGAAAGCGAGUCUGAAUAGGGCGUUUAGUAUUUGGUCGUAGACCCGAAACCAGGUGAUCUACCCUUGGUCAGGUUGAAGUUCAGGUAACACUGAAUGGAGGACCGAACCGACUUACGUUGAAAAGUGAGCGGAUGAACUGAGGGUAGCGGAGAAAUUCCAAUCGAACCUGGAGAUAGCUGGUUCUCUCCGAAAUAGCUUUAGGGCUAGCCUCAAGUGAUGAUUAUUGGAGGUAGAGCACUGUUUGGACGAGGGGCCCCUCUCGGGUUACCGAAUUCAGACAAACUCCGAAUGCCAAUUAAUUUAACUUGGGAGUCAGAACAUGGGUGAUAAGGUCCGUGUUCGAAAGGGAAACAGCCCAGACCACCAGCUAAGGUCCCAAAAUAUAUGUUAAGUGGAAAAGGAUGUGGCGUUGCCCAGACAACUAGGAUGUUGGCUUAGAAGCAGCCAUCAUUUAAAGAGUGCGUAAUAGCUCACUAGUCGAGUGACACUGCGCCGAAAAUGUACCGGGGCUAAACAUAUUACCGAAGCUGUGGAUUGUCCUUUGGACAAUGGUAGGAGAGCGUUCUAAGGGCGUUGAAGCAUGAUCGUAAGGACAUGUGGAGCGCUUAGAAGUGAGAAUGCCGGUGUGAGUAGCGAAAGACGGGUGAGAAUCCCGUCCACCGAUUGACUAAGGUUUCCAGAGGAAGGCUCGUCCGCUCUGGGUUAGUCGGGUCCUAAGCUGAGACCGACAGGCGUAGGCGAUGGAUAACAGGUUGAUAUUCCUGUACCACCUAUAAUCGUUUUAAUCGAUGGGGGGACGCAGUAGGAUAGGCGAAGCGUGCGAUUGGAUUGCACGUCUAAGCAGUAAGGCUGAGUAUUAGGCAAAUCCGGUACUCAUUAAGGCUGAGCUGUGAUGGGGAGAAGACAUUGUGUCUUCGAGUCGUUGAUUUCACACUGCCGAGAAAAGCCUCUAGAUAGAAAAUAGGUGCCCGUACCGCAAACCGACACAGGUAGUCAAGAUGAGAAUUCUAAGGUGAGCGAGCGAACUCUCGUUAAGGAACUCGGCAAAAUGACCCCGUAACUUCGGGAGAAGGGGUGCUCUUUAGGGUUAACGCCCAGAAGAGCCGCAGUGAAUAGGCCCAAGCGACUGUUUAUCAAAAACACAGGUCUCUGCUAAACCGUAAGGUGAUGUAUAGGGGCUGACGCCUGCCCGGUGCUGGAAGGUUAAGAGGAGUGGUUAGCUUCUGCGAAGCUACGAAUCGAAGCCCCAGUAAACGGCGGCCGUAACUAUAACGGUCCUAAGGUAGCGAAAUUCCUUGUCGGGUAAGUUCCGACCCGCACGAAAGGCGUAACGAUUUGGGCACUGUCUCAACGAGAGACUCGGUGAAAUCAUAGUACCUGUGAAGAUGCAGGUUACCCGCGACAGGACGGAAAGACCCCGUGGAGCUUUACUGUAGCCUGAUAUUGAAAUUCGGCACAGCUUGUACAGGAUAGGUAGGAGCCUUUGAAACGUGAGCGCUAGCUUACGUGGAGGCGCUGGUGGGAUACUACCCUAGCUGUGUUGGCUUUCUAACCCGCACCACUUAUCGUGGUGGGAGACAGUGUCAGGCGGGCAGUUUGACUGGGGCGGUCGCCUCCUAAAAGGUAACGGAGGCGCUCAAAGGUUCCCUCAGAAUGGUUGGAAAUCAUUCAUAGAGUGUAAAGGCAUAAGGGAGCUUGACUGCGAGACCUACAAGUCGAGCAGGGUCGAAAGACGGACUUAGUGAUCCGGUGGUUCCGCAUGGAAGGGCCAUCGCUCAACGGAUAAAAGCUACCCCGGGGAUAACAGGCUUAUCUCCCCCAAGAGUUCACAUCGACGGGGAGGUUUGGCACCUCGAUGUCGGCUCAUCGCAUCCUGGGGCUGUAGUCGGUCCCAAGGGUUGGGCUGUUCGCCCAUUAAAGCGGUACGCGAGCUGGGUUCAGAACGUCGUGAGACAGUUCGGUCCCUAUCCGUCGUGGGCGUAGGAAAUUUGAGAGGAGCUGUCCUUAGUACGAGAGGACCGGGAUGGACAUACCUCUGGUGUACCAGUUGUCGUGCCAACGGCAUAGCUGGGUAGCUAUGUGUGGACGGGAUAAGUGCUGAAAGCAUCUAAGCAUGAAGCCCCCCUCAAGAUGAGAUUUCCCAACUUCGGUUAUAAGAUCCCUCAAAGAUGAUGAGGUUAAUAGGUUCGAGGUGGAAGCAUGGUGACAUGUGGAGCUGACGAAUACUAAUCGAUCGAAGACUUAAUCAA
rnacentral:rRNA from 1 species